ACAUCUGGAAGGUUGGUGACUUUGCUACGCUACAGACAGAGGGCAAGGAGAGCACAGCACAGGACAAGUUAAAAAAAGCUCCAGAGAGAACUAAAGGAACUGUACGCAGAUCUGCGAUGAGCUACGGUGCUCCUUUGACCAAACCGGCAGUGCAUUCAACCUGGUGAAGAUCAUAUCACUGGGACUCGACAAUUUGCUGACAGGAUCUGUGAGAUCUCUGGAGCUCUCCAUAGAACAGCUCCUGGCUAAGACGGUGUUCACCCUGUACUCCCCGGCGGUGCUGCAGCUGUCUAAACGGGACCGCUUUGAUUUGGCCUGCGUGUUGUCACCACGCUGGAAAGAAACUGUGCUCUUUUUCUCAGUGCUCCUAAUAAAGAGAUCCUGCUAAUGGCUAUGAAGGACAUGGACAUUGCUCAGCUGACCUCUACUGACCUGCCACUGCAGGUAGUGCAGUGUUCCCUGUUGAAACGUCAAUUAUGGACUAUCGCAAGAUCCUCAGUGGUAUAAUGGAAGUAUCCCCUGAACUCUAUGACAAUGAGUCUUGGACAGCUAUAUGGAGAAAACGACCUCUCCACCAGCGAGUGAACUGAGUGCUUUUUUCUCUCAUGAGAUCAGCCUGCACAGAUGAGGAAUCAGAUUAGAAGUGGAUUGAUGGAACUGUAGACACACUGAGGAUAUGAAAACUCUGUCAUGGAUGACAACCAGGUUCCCACACUCAUCAUCAGAGGGAAAUCUCAUGCCUGAACAGGUGAGAAUGGAAACCUGACCACUAGAUAUUGUGUCAAGUGCCAGGUUUCAUAGAAUUUUAUACACUGACUACAAGUUGUUUACUUCUGGGCACUGUGGGCAGCAACUAAAAUUUCUCCAAAGGAAACAAACUGAAGCUGUUUUGGUUUCUGUCUUGAAAAUCCGACAAGGCAGAAGCACAAAGACAGGCCAGGAUUAAUAGCUUAAAACGGAAAAGGAGCCGGAACAUCCAAGUGGCUUGAUCCAUUUAGCUGACAGUCUGGCGCACAUUAGAAAUGGAACA